rnacentral:lncRNA from 1 species
CAGAAUGUCACUUUGACAUCAUAAACUUCUACACAUGAACAUUUAAACGUCAUGUCUUUACCACAGUCACCACAUUAUCACAAUAAUAAGAUAACAAAUCUUGUCAACCACAUGAAGGGGAAUUACAGCACAAGGAAGUAAGUGUCCCAUUAUAAGGCAUGGGCUCAGUCACGCACAAUGACUUGGGAGCGAGCUGAGUUCAUAUUCACUGCUAAAGAGAACGUAUAGGUCCGUUUCGAAUUAUAUUCAAGAUAUAUGAUUAAAGCAACCUAAAGAUUGAUUCUAUACAUCGUCUGACAUGUUUCUACAGACUGUAGUAUAACUUUUUUGACUUUUCGUCUGGACUAAGUAAGCAUGCACGUUGUGGAUUUGGAUAGUGAACCUAACGCGCGAACAAAAUUGAUUAUUUGGACAUAUAUAUGAACUUUAUCGAACAUUUAUUGUGGAGCUGGGGUUUCUGGGAGUGCCUUCUGAUGAAGAUAAUCAAAGCUCCAACUGAGAUUCAGGUUCCUCUGAACAAGACCACCACCAGGGGACGUGAGCGAAGAGAGAAGGUACAGUCAGACAGGAGAAAGGAGACCUGUGUUACGCUUCGUUGGAUAUCCGUCAGGGACAGAGGAGACCAAAGAGGAAGACAAAAGCCCAGAACUCUGACUUCAGUACCUACACAGCCAUCAAUACCCUCAGAGUGGGAGGUCUAUACCAUCCAUCAAUACCAGCAAAGUGAGACCUAUACCAUCGAUCAAUACCAGCAGAGUGAGACCUAUACCAGCCAUCAAUUACAGCAGAGUGAGACCUGUACCAGCCAUCAAUACCAGCAGAGUGUGAGACCUGUACCAGCCAUCAAUACCAGCAGAGUGAGACCUAUACCAUCCAUCCCAGCAGAGUGUGAGACAUUUACAUUUUAGUCAUUUAGCAGACGCUCUUAUCCAGAGCAACUUACAGUAGUGAAUGCAUACAUUUCAUAAAUUUUUUUCCAUACUGGUCCCCAUGGGAAUCGAACCCACAACCCUGGCGUUGCAAACACCAUGCCCUACCAACUGAGCCACACGGGACCUAUACCAUCCAUCAAUACCAGCAGAGUGUGAGACCUAUACCAUCCAUCAAUAGCAGUAUAGAGUGAGUUCUAUACCAACAUUGCUUGAGGACAAGGUGUGACAAGAAUAAUUUUGAUAUUUUCAAGAUUUACUUAAUUUUUUGAGGAAUAUUUUUGUACGUUUUAAACCCUUUCAUACAAAUGAUUUAUGAUUUAACUUUUGUCUGUAACCUUUUCAUAAUAAUAACAAUUGUGAUUUAGAUAAUGAUGUUAAGAUAAUGAUGUUAAGAUCAGGGAAUAAUGGUUAAAUUGCUCUUGUUAAAGUCUUAGUUUGUAAUUGUAGGUGUGAAACUUCAUUGUUUUCCAUUUGUAAGUGUAUUGAUAUUUGUUAAUGUAGCU